rnacentral:rRNA from 1 species
AUGGUAGGAUAGAGGCCUACCAUGGUGGUAACGGGUAACGGGGUGUUAGGGCACGACACCGGAGAGGGAGCCUGAGAAACGGCUACCACAUCCAAGGAUGGCAGCAGGCGCGCAAAUUACCCAAUCCCGACACGGGGAGGUAGUGACAAUAGAUAACAAUACGGGGUUCUUUAGGAUCUCGUAAUUGGAAUGAGUACAAUUUAAAUCUCUUAACGAGGAACAAUUGGAGGGCAAGUCUGGUGCCAGCAGCCGCGGUAAUUCCAGCUCCAAUAGCGUAUAUNAAAGUUGUUGCAGUUAAAAAGCUCGUAGUUGAAUUUCGGGGUCAGUAGGUCGGUCGUGCCACUGGUAUGAACUGGUUUUACUGAUUCCUCCCUCUUGAAGAACUGUAAUGCCAUUAAUUUGGUGUUGCAGGGAAUCAGGACUGUUACUCUGAAAAAAUUAGAGUGUUUAAAGCAGGCUUUAGCUUGAAUACAUUAGCAUGGAAUAAUGAAAUAGGACGUUUGAUCCUAUUUUGUUGGUUUCUAGGAUUGACGUAAUGAUUAAUAGGGAUAGUUGGGGGCAUUAGUAUUCAAUUGUCAGAGGUGAAAUUCUUGGAUUUAUUGAAGACUAACUACUGCGAAAGCAUUUGCCAAGGAUGUUUUCAUUAAUCAAGAACGAAAGUUAGGGGAUCGAAGACGAUCAGAUACCGUCGUAGUCUUAACCAUAAACUAUGCCGACUAGGGAUCGGAUGAUGUUAAUUUUUUAAUGACUCAUUCGGCGCCUUACGGGAAACCAAAGUGUUUGGG